AUUGAACGCUGGCGGCAGGCCUAACACAUGCAAGUCGAACGAGUGGCGGACGGGUGAGUAAUGUCUGGGAAACUGCCUGAUGGAGGGGGAUAACUCCUGGAAACGGUAGCUAAUACCGCAUACCAUCAGAUGUGCCCAGAUGGGAUUCGCUAGUUGGUGGGGUAACGGCUCACCAAGGCGACGAUCCCUAGCUGGUCUGAGAGGAUGACCAGCAACACUGGAACUGAGACACGGUCCAGACUGCUACGGGAGGCAGAAGUGGGGAAUAUGGCACAAUGGGCGAAAGCCUGAAGGAGCCAUGCCGCGUGUAUGAAGAAGGCCUUCGGGUUGUAAAGUACUUUCAGCGGGGAGGCGUUACCCGAAGAAGAAGCACCGGCUAACUCCGUGCCAGCCGCCGCGGUAAUUC
rnacentral:rRNA from 1 species